AUUGAACGCUGGCGGCAUGCUUUACACAUGCAAGUCGAACGGCAGCGCGGGGCAACCUGGCGGCGAGUGGCGAACGGGUGAGUAAUAUAUCGGAACGUACCCAAGAGUGGGGGAGUAACGUAGCGAAGUUACGCUAAUACCGCAUACGAUCUAAGGAUGAAAGUGGGGAUCGCAAGACCUCAUGCUCCUGGAGCGGCCGAUAUCUGAUUAGCUAGUUGGNGAGGUAA
rnacentral:rRNA from 1 species